rnacentral:rRNA from 1 species
UACUAGUCGGGGGAAAUCACCUUUGACCUCAAAUCAGGUA